rnacentral:RNase_P_RNA from 3 species
GAAGCUGACCAGACAGUCGCCGCUUCGUCGUCGUCCCUUUCGGGGGAGACGGGCGGAGGGGAGGAAAGUCCGGGCUCCAUAGGGCAGGGUGCCAGGUAACGCCUGGGGGGGAAACCCACGACCAGUGCAACAGAGAGCAAACCGCCGAUGGCCCGCGCAAGCGGGAUCAGGUAAGGGUGAAAGGGUGCGGUAAGAGCGCACCGCGCGGCUGGU